rnacentral:rRNA from 1 species
AUUGAACGCUGGCGGCAUGCUUUACACAUGCAAGUCGAACGGUAACAGGGUGCUUGCACCGCUGACGAGUGGCGAACGGGUGAGUAAUGCGUCGGAACGUGCCGAGUAGUGGGGGAUAACGCGGCGAAAGUUGUGCUGAUACCGCAUACGUACUGAGGUAGAAAGUGGGGGACCUUCGGGCCUCACGCUAUUCGAGCGGCCGACGUCUGAUUAGCUAGUAGGUGAGGUAAAGGCUCACCUAGGCGACGAUCAGUAGCGGGUCUGAGAGGAUGGUCCGCCACACUGGGACUGAGACACGGCCCAGACUCCUACGGGAGGCAGCAGUUGGGGAAUUUUGGACAAUGGGCGAAAGCCUGAUCCAGCCAUGCCGCGUGUCUGAAGAAGGCCUUCGGGUUGUAAAGGACUUUUGUCAGGGAGGAAAUCCCUAGCGUUAAUACCGCUGGGGGAUGACAGUACCUGAAGAAUAAGCACCGGCUAACUACGUGCCAGCCGCCGCCGUAAGAC